GUGCCAGCAGCCGCGGUAAUACGGAGGAUGCAAGCGUUAUCCGGAAUCAUUGGGCGUAAAGCGUCCGCAGGUGGCACUUCAAGUCUGCUGUCAAAGGUCGGGGCUUAACUCCGAAUCGGCGGUGGAAACUGAAGAGCUAGAGUAUGGUAGGGGCAGAGGGAAUUCCUGGUGUAGCGGUGAAAUGCGUAGAGAUCAGGAAGAACACCGGUGGCGAAAGCGCUCUGCUAGGCCAUAACUGACGCUCAGGGACGAAAGCUAGGGGAGCGAAUGGGAUUAGAUACCCCAGUAGUCC
rnacentral:rRNA from 1 species